rnacentral:rRNA from 1 species
AUUGAACGCUGGCGGCAGGCCUAACACAUGCAAGUCGAACGAGUGGCGGACGGGUGAGUAAUGUCUGGGAAACUGCCUGAUGGAGGGGGAUAACUACUGGAAACGGUAGCUAAUACCGCAUACCAUCGGAUGUGCCCAGAUGGGAUUAGCUAGUAGGUGGGGUAAAGGCUCACCUAGGCGACGAUCCCUAGCUGGUCUGAGAGGAUGACCAACCACGCGGGAACUGAGACACGGUCCAGACUCCUACGGUAGGCAGCAGGGGGGAACAUUGCACAAUGGGCGAAAGCCGGAUGCAGCCAGGCCGAGUGUAUGAAGAAGGGCUUCGGGUUGUAAAGUACUUUCAGCGGGGAGGCGGUACCCGCAGAAGAAGCACCGGCUAACUCCGGGCCAGCAGCCGCGGUAAUUC